UAAGUAUAAGAUUAUUUCUCUGUGAGGGGCCCUAUCGCAUAAUGAAGACUUCAAUCGCCAGGGAUGGCGAUUGUAAGCGGGCCAGGGAUGGCCUGACGCGCCAGCGUCACAGCGGUCUUCAUUAUGCGAUAGGGCCCCUCACAGAGAAAUAAUCUUAUACUUA
rfam:Glaciecola nitratireducens FR1064, complete genome.